rnacentral:rRNA from 1 species
GAACGCUGGCGGCGUGCUUAACACAUGCAAGUCGAGCGGAAAGGCCCUUCGGGGUACUCGAGCGGCGAACGGGUGAGUAACACGUGAGCAACCUGCCCUAGGCUUUGGGAUAACCCCGGGAAACCGGGGCUAAUACCGAAUAGGACCUGGCCUCGCAUGAGGCUUGGUGGAAAGUUUUUCGGCCUGGGAUGGGCUCGCGGCCUAUCAGCUUGUUGGUGGGGUGAUGGCCUACCAAGGCGACGACGGGUAGCCGGCCUGAGAGGGCGACCGGCCACACUGGGACUGAGACACGGCCCAGACUCCUACGGGAGGCAGCAGUGGGGAAUAUUGCACAAUGGGCGGAAGCCUGAUGCAGCGACGCCGCGUGAGGGAUGACGGCCUUCGGGUUGUAAACCUCUUUCAGCAGGGACGAAGCGUAAGUGACGGUACCUGCAGAAGAAGCGCCGGCCAACUACGUGCCAGCAGCCGCGGUAAGACGUAGGGCGCGAGCGUUGUCCGGAUUUAUUGGGCGUAAAGAGCUCGUAGGCGGC